rnacentral:rRNA from 1 species
UUGAANUGGGCGCAGCCUGAUCCAGCCAUGCCGCGUGGGUGAUGAAGGCCCUAGGGUUGUAAAGCCCUUUCGGCGGGGAAGAUAAUGACGGUACCCGCAGAAGAAGCCCCGGCUAACUUCGUGCCAGCAGCCGCGGUAAUACGAAGGGGGCUAGCGUUGCUCGGAAUCACUGGGCGUAAAGCGCACGUAGGCGGCUUUUUAAGUCAGGGGUGAAAUCCUGGAGCUCAACUCCAGAACUGCCUUUGAUACUGAGAAGCUCGAGUCCGGGAGAGGUGAGUGGAACUGCGAGUGUAGAGGUGAAAUUCGUAGAUAUUCGCAAGAACACCAGUGGCGAAGGCGGCUCACUGGCCCGGUACUGACGCUGAGGUGCGAAAGCGUGGGGAGCAAACAGGAUUAGAUACCCCGGUAGUCCACGCCGUAAACGAUGGAUGCUAGCCGUUGUCGGGUUUACUCGUCAGUGGCGCAGCUAACGCAUUAAGCAUCCCGCCUGGGGAGUACGGUCGCAAGAUUAAAACUCAAAGGAAUUGACGGA